rnacentral:lncRNA from 1 species
AUGGAGCCUGGCUCUGUCACACAGGCUGGAGUGCAGUGGUGUAAUCUCAGCUCACUGCAACCUCCACCUCUCGGGUUCAAGCAAUUCUCCCGCCUCAGCCUCCCGAGUAGCUGGGAUUACAGGGGCCCACCAUCGUGCCUGGCUAAUAUUUGUAAUUUUGUAGAGAUGGGGUUUCACCGUGUUGGCCAGGCUGGUUUUGAACUCCUGAUCUCAAUUGUACAAUUUUGCAAUAAUCUUCCAUGGAGUUCAUGACCAGAGGAUGACUAGACCUUGAGAAUAUUUGAAGAAGGGGUCAAGGUGGGAGCCAAGGCGACCAUCUGAAACAGCUGGCCUGCCUGGGCAUGUCUGAGCCAGAUGUCUACUUCUGGUCCAGAGUUAGAAUUAUACAUAAAAUCAGGUACUGGGAACAAUUUAUCUAUGUUAAAAAGAUGUGUGUGUGUGAAUGGAUGUAUACAUGUGUGCUAUAAGA